rnacentral:lncRNA from 1 species
AGGGAUGAGGAGGCCGAGUAGAGUGGUGUACCUCGGCGACGGUAGGGGCGACUACUGCCCCACCCUAAAGCUGGCCGAGCGGGACUACAUGAUGCCCAGGAAGGGCUACCCCGUGUGGGACCUCAUUGCCGGCGACCGGCGGGCCGUCCGCGCAGGCGUGCGCGGGUGGGCCGACUUCAAGGACCUGGAGACGGUGCUGCUUGACAUCAUACACGAAUGCGCCGCGGCCGCCAUGGUGGAACAAGACGGCGGCGAUCAGGUGGUGGUGGGCAUGGUGGUGCCAGAGUGCCGUGCCCUUUCGGCUCCCAAGAUGGCGAUGGCAGUUCUCCCCAAAGCAAUUCAUGCGCCCAACUGACACGCAUCUUUGCCAAACAAUAUGGAUGUUUGGUGACUCGAUGGAAGCAUGGGAGAUAUAAUGGCUUUUCCCAGCGUAAAGUAGAAAAACUAUGCUGCUCCUGGUUCCUUACGUCUACAGCAGUAGCUUAAGUGUGGGACAUGAUUAGCUCGAUCAUAUACUUCUCUUGGAACUGGAAGCCAAUGGACGUACUGCAUGCACCGGUGUAGGAGCCAGCUGACAUCCAGAAGCUGUUAUAUCCCUAAUUUGGGUCAAUAUUAAUCACUUGCCUCUUUUAGGGAACCUUAAUGAUUUGCCUGGAAAAUAAUAAAAUUAAGAGUAUCGAUCAGUUUUUCUGUCAUCGGUCCCCACCCUUUCAUGUUAAGGUCCUGCUUGUUUCAUAAGUCCUAGAACCAUUUUUAGUCCCAAUUAAAAAGUCGCUAGUCCCUAAAAAGUCCCUACCUGUUUGGUUCCUGGGACUAAACAUCGACUAAAAGACCAUGUUACAACUAAAAGUCCCAAAAUGACUCUCACUCAGUGUCUUCUUUCAUAAGUCCCAAAUGCCCACUUUAAGUCCCUAUAAGUCCCUCCUGUUUGGUUUAGAUGGGACUAAAAGAGACUUUUUAAAGUCUCUACACCAAUAAGUCCUUGUAAACAAACACCCCCUAGCUCACCGUUCCCUCCCUGGCGUAUCCCCUUCCUCCCUAUUUCUUGGCUGGUCGACUGACUCGUUGCCGCACUAUUUCAUCACGAGAUACUACCCCAACAAUGACCUCCCCAAGUCCAGUGGUAGCUAUCCUCCGCUCACCACAUCUCUCUAGUCAUAAGGACAAAAGGACAGAUGAUAGCGGGUGGGGAUAAAAUAAAAAAACCCACAUAAUAUAUAAUUUAAUAACAUUAGUUCUUAGCGCUUUUCCUGUUUCAUUUCUUUUCAUUCUUCAUUUUUUGUUUGUUUUUGUUUUAUUACCUUUUCAGUUUAUAAAAUAGAAAUAUGUUCAAAUAAUUUUGAUUAUUUAAACUGUGGCAAAGAGGCAAUAACAUUUUUUUAAUACUGAAUAAAUUUUGGCUACAUGAACAUUUUAAUAAAAAUGCAAGAACACCUUUGAAAACCAGACAAAUCACCUUCUGACCUAUUUGAGGUAGGUAUAAGAAGUUCCUUCCCUUUGAUAAUUCUAAUUCCUUAAUAUAGGGUAAACGAAGAUAUCAAUUUUUGAGCUGUUUAAGGUAGGAAACUAUCAACUAAGGUUCUAAAGGAAGGAACUACCUAUUUCGACCGAGGAGCACAUGCCAUUCUAUAGGCUGGUUCAGAAAUUGGGGAAGCUUGGUUUGAACAACCUACUGAGUAUUAGCUAUAGCACUUACUCCUGGAAAUUAUAUUGAAACACAAAACUGGUUCAAGAUUACGAUGAGCUUUGAUUUGAAUAAGUCCCGUGUUUUUUUUAUUUUUUUCUAUUUAUACUUUUGUUCCCUUUUUUAAAUAAAAUAUAAACAUCCAUUCCUCUAGUUUUUAAUAUUUUUUUCUAUAUCUUGAAUUCUGUAAGGAAUGAUUGCAAUUCUUGCAGCGGUAUCCAUGGUUACUACUCUUUCUUUCUUGUCCCGCAAAAUAGAGAUUGCGCCGAAGCUUCUAUUUAUAGGCGAGCCAUCAAAUAAUUUUCAUUAUUCGGAAUAGGGUAAAGUGGUAAGAACACUUGUUGAAAUAGUGAAGUAAUUUUGAAUACUUGAACAUUUUUUAUUAAAUUCAAGGACACCUAUGAAAAUUAAAAAAAUCACUGAGUAAUAAUGCAUGAAUAGUUUUGAAAAUUGUGUGAACAUUUAAAUUAGUUUGUGAUUUUUUUAGUAACAUUUUCAAAAUGGGCUAACAAACUUUAAAACUCGACCAGCACCAAAAAUUAAUAAAUACUCCCUCCGUAAAGAAAUAUAAGAGCGUUUAGAUCACUACUUUAGUGAUCUAAACGCUCUUAUAUUUCUUUACAGAGGGAGUACUUUUUAAUGUACUUAAAUUAAUUAAACAAGUAGAAAUGUGCACAAGGAAGGCAAGCAGAUCAAGUUUACCUUUGAAGAAGAACACGGAGGGAUAUUGGUUCCAGAUAUUGCGGCAAUGAUGUUCUGUCGCCAUUACGCAUGAAUACAUGGGAUUUGAGCACCAAUGGUGCAUGUUGGGAAAACGAAAGACAUGAGCUAUACCAAGCAAGAAAGAGGGGAAACAAAGGAUCCGUUUCGAUCAUGAAGCUCCCACCUCAAUCAUGGAUCAAGGCACACUGACAUGUCCCCUCGGGAGCUCAAACCUUACUUGAGGAUGAAAUGGAAGCGGCUUCAUGAAGUACGGAGGUGAACAUGCUCUGUCCGGAACCAAGGAACCAUGACGUGCAUAUCGACGACCGAUUCUAGAUCUGAAGGAAAAAAAGUUCCAGAUUGGGGCAAAGUAAAGAAGUUCAUGCCAAACAAUGGUGGAGCAGAAAAUGUUGUGGCUUUAGGUGCACAGUCUUAUGUACCGAGAUCAUCAUAGUUUUAAAGUGGGACUGGAGACCGACAGAGUGACAUCUAGAUAUCUGAUGCUACUUGACACCUAUGUCAAAGCGGUGCACGAUGAAUAGAAACAUUCACCUAGUGCACUACUUUUGUUCCUACUAAUGUACAUCCUAGUGUUAACUGGUCCAAAAUUAAAAGCGAGAAGAUGAUUCAGAAUGUCUAAUAAAGGUAGAAAACAUAAAUAACAUGCUUGUCUGGUAAAUCAAAUCUGAAAUUCAUAAGGUUCUUUGCAGGUAGCUUAAUGUAAAAGAAUGUUUGCACAUGUAAACUAUGUACCCAACCAACCAGGAACCACUUUGCCUAAAUCUCAAGCAAGCCACGUUAAACCAAUAAGGUGAGUGGGUAAUUUUCUAGGUGGCUACAGGACAGUGCAUGCAAAAUCAUGACAUAUAUACACGACCUGUCAUUUCCAUAAAGCAAAAAUAUAUGGAUUUCCACAUUGAUAGUUGCAUGACUUGAGAAAGGUCAGUGUUGCAGCAAAGAUAUAUGAACAUGUAAUUACAUUUAGAUGAACAUGAGAAAUUAUAAUAAAAAGAUUAUGCUCAGAAUUGGCAAUAUGGCCAAGAGAUUUGAGCCCACGACACAGGGAGGAGCGGAGGCUAGAUCUCACGCGGUUUGUUCAGUGAAGAUUGAAUAGACAAUUUUUUUUAUCAAAAUGUGAGUAUCACUAAUAUGGGUCAAUCUGAAUCACUUGACUCUUUUAGGGGACCUUAAUCAAUUUCCUGGAAAAUAAUUAAAUUAAUAGUGUUGAUUAGUUUUUUCUUGGCAUAGGUCUCCACCCUUUCAUCUUACAUCGCCGUUCCCAACCUCGUGUAUCCCCUUCUCCCCCUAUGUUUGGCUGGUGGACUGACUAGUUACCGCGCUCCUUCGUCAUGAGAUACUACCCCAACAAUGACCUCCCCAAGUCUAGUGGUAGCUAUCCUUCGCUUACCACAUCUUUCUAACCCUAGAGAGGGCAUAGUCGUAAGGACGAAACAUCAAAUGGUAGACGUGUGUAGAUAAAAUUAAAAAACCACAUAAUAUAUAAUCAAAUAGUAGUUGUUCUUAGCGCCUUUCUUCAUUGCCUUUACCUCUUUCUAAAUUGCGGGAUUUUCUUGUUUCCUUUUGUUCAUUCUUCCUUUUUUUUGUUUGUUUGUUUUCUUUCCUUUGCAGUUUAAUAAAAUAGAAACGUGUUCAGAUAAUUUUGAUUAUUUAAACUAUUGUAAAGGAUUAAUAAUUUUUCUAAAUAUUGAAUACAUUUUGGAUACAUGAACGUUUUUUAUUAAAAUGCAAGAACACCUUUGAAAACCAGACAGACAAUUUCUGACCUGUUCGAGGUAUGAAUAAGCAGUUCCUCCCCUUUGAUAAAUCUAAUUCAGUUAAGAUAGGGAAACUAAGAUAUCAAUUUCUAGGACGUAUGAGGCAGGAAACUCUCAAGUAAGAUUCUAAAGGAAGGAACUACCUAGUCCGACCUAGGAGAACAUGCCAUCCUGUAGGCCGGUUCGGAAAUUGUGGAAGCUUUGUUUGAACAACCUAUUGAGUAUUGGAAACAAACUACAAAGCUUACUCCGGGAAAUUAUAAUGAAGCACAUAAUGGUUGAAGAUUACGAAGAUCUUUGGUAUGAAUAAGUUCCAUGUUUAUUUUUUCUUUUUCUCUUUCAUUCUUUAUUUUUAUUUUUCAAGUUAUCCAUUUUGUUUCCUUUUCAGUAAAAUAAAAAAUAAACAUCCAUUCCUCUAGUUUUUCCUAUUGUUUUCUAUAACACUGGCGGGAAAUUUUGUUUCCUUUUUCUCUUUCAGUAUAAUAAGUUCCUAUUGUUUUUCCUAGUUCAGAUAAUUUGAAAAUGAUAUAGAAUUAUUUAAAGGAAUGAUUGCAAUUCUUCUAGGGAUAUCCAUGUCUUUGAUUCGUUCUUUCUUGUCCUGCGAAAUAGAGAGUGCGUUGAAGCUUCUAUUUACAGGCGAGCCUUCAAAUAAUUUUCAUCGUUCGAACUAGGUUACAGUGGUAACAACACUUUUUAAAAUAGUGAAGUUAGUUGAACAUUUUUAUUAAAUGCAUGAACACCUUUCAAAAUUAGAAAAAGCAAUUUGUAAUAAUGCAUGAACACUUCUGAAAAUUGUGUGAAUAUCUACAAAAUAGUGAUUUUUUAGUUACAUGAACAUUUUCAAAUUGCUCAAACACAUUUGAAAAUUCCACCAACACUAAAAACUAGUAAACACUUUUUAGCCUACAUAAAUUCGAACCGGUUUGUGAGGGCCAUUGUCCAGGUUCGCGAACCGCGACUAAAAGGUCGUAACUAAAGCCCUACACCUUUAGUUCCGGUUCGAUCGGGAACCGGGACAGAUGGGGCUCCACGUGGCCGGAGCAGCUUGCCCAGGCAGGGGGGGGGGCUUUUGUCCCGGUUGGUGCCACCAACCGGGACCACAAGGCUUCCACGCGUAAGCUGUUUAGUGGCUGGGUUUUUUUUCCUGAAAGAUGGGGGGGGUGGGGUUUUUUGGGGGUUUUGUAGGGUUAAUUUAGGGGUUUCAUAUAUUGUGUUAGAUCGCUAACAGAGACGAGUGUCCUCUCUUAUCUCUGUGCUUGGUCGACGCUACAUAUAGACUCGACACGCUAGCUAGCUAGUAAGCAAAUGACAGAAACCAUUAAGUACAGAAGAUCGUCAUGAACAUAUACACAGAGAGAAGUGAUCAACCUCUCCUUCUUCGAUAGAUUGGUCGAACAACAAGUUUUCGUAUAAGAUCUCUUACGUCCCCUAACAUAUGAACUCAACUUCCACAUGGUAUUCCCCGUGUUUGUCGAUGACGUGGUCAAGAAAGAAUCCCGCCAAUUCCUCGUGAAUAUUAUUGCUUAUGCACUUCAUAUUGUUGUUUAGAGUAGCCCCGCUCGCAGGUGGUGUGGUGGAUGAACUCGCAAAUGUAGUAUCCACACAAAUCAUUCCCAAGUUCCUGCCAUAACCACUUUACAAGAAAUAGAGGUCAAUCAAACUGAUAAGCAAAGCAUGCUAAAUGGUAUUGAUGAAGUUAGCUAGAAUCAAUGGGAGAUGCGUGGAACUAGCUAGUAGCCAGUACUUACUUUCGGGUGGUCAAAUCGCAGUUGUGCCGGCACUCCCGGGGCUUGUGCGGUGAACUUUUUCCAAACCCUGCUAGACAAAGAAAACAAUUACUUGAUAUCAGGAAAUGAACAAAGUUGCCGAUAUGGUGCGAUAAUGAUCGAUUGAACUUACUGUCACGCCCAAUAUGCGAUACUAUCCUAAAGAGACUCGAAGGUCCCACCAAGGAUAGAACCGCAAAUUGAUACGCUUUUGCAAGGUGGAUAUCAUUAGAUCAACAUUACAUAAUAGAUGGGGAUACAUACAAAAGGCAUAAAAUGCCACACGAAUACAACAUCAUCUUACAUAAGAGCACCAUCCGACUACGGAUGAAACACAAACAGAAACUCAAACGACAUCCACCCUGCUAGCCCAGGCUGCCGACCUGGAACCUAUCCCCUGAUCGAAGAAGAAGCAGAAGAAGAACUCCAAAAAAGCAAACAUCGCUCUCGCGUCAUGAUCAUUGCAUAACCUGUACCUACAACUGUUGUUGUAGUAAUCUGUAAUCCACGAGGACUCAGCAAUCCCAUUACCAUGGGUAUCAAGACUAGCAAAGCUUAAUGGGUAUGGAGAGGAUAAGUGGUGAGGUUGCAGCAGCGACUAAGCAUGAUAUGGUGGCUAACAUACGUAAAUAAGAGCGAGAAGAGAAGCAAAGGAACGACCGUGAAGCUAGCAAUGAUCAAGAGGUGAUCCUGAACUCCUACUUACGUCAAACAUAACCCAAAACCGUGUUCACUUCCCAGACUCCGCCGAAAAGAGACCAUCACGGCUACACACACGGUUGAUGUGUUUUAAUUCGGAUCUGGUGUCAAGUUACCUACAACCGGACAUUAACAAAUUCCCAUCUGCCACAUAACUGCGGGUGAGGGAGUUCCGGACUAGGGGGUGUCCGGAUAGCCGAACUAUCAUGAUCGGCCGGACUCCAAGACUAUGAAGAUACAAGAUUGAAGACUCCGUCCCAUGUUCGGAUGGGACUUUCCUUGGCGUGGAAGGCAAGCUUGGCGAUACGGAUAUGUAGAUCUCCUACCAUUGUAACCGACUCUGUGUAACCCUAGCCCUCUCCGGUGUCUAUAUAAACCGGAUGGCUUUAGUCCAUAGGACGAACAACAAUCAUACCAUAGGCUAGCUUCUAGGGUUUAUCCUCCUUGAUCUCGUGGUAGAUCUACUCUUGUAACACACAUCAUCAAUAUUAAUCAAGCAGGACGUAGGGUUUUACCUCCAUCAAGAGGGCCCGAACCUGGGUAAAACAUCGUGUCCCUUGUCUCCUGUUACCAUCCGCCUAGACGCACAGUUCGGGACCCCCUACCCGAGAUCCGCCGGUUUUGACACCGAUAUUGGUGCUUUCAUUGAGAGUUCCUCUGUGUCGUCACCGAUAGGCUCGAUGGCUUCUUCGAUCAUCAUCAACGACGCAGUCCAGGGUGAGACCUUUCUCCCCGGACAGAUCUUCGUAUUCGGCGGCUUUGCACUGUGGGCCAAUUCGCUUGGCCGUCUGGAGCAGAUCGAAAGCUACGCCCCUGGCCGUCAGGCCAGAUUUGGAAGUUUGAACUUUACGGCUGACAUCCGCGGGGACUUGAUCCUCGAUGGAUUCGAGCCACAGCCGAGCGUGCCGCACUGUCACGGCGAGCACGAUUUAGCUCUGCAGCAGGACAGUACCCCGGAGGCCGCACUCGAACCCGCUCCGAUCUUCAAUUCGGAGCCGGCUGCGCAGAUCGAGGACUGAUGGCUAGACACCGCCUCGGGGGCUGCAACCUCUACGGCGAUAGAGCCGAACACUGACUUUGUCCCUCAUAAAGCUCGUGACUCCGAGGUGCCGGACUCCUCGCCGGACUCCGAACCUCCCGCGCCCCCUCCGAUCGAAUCCGAUUGGGUGCCGAUCAUGGAGUUCACCGCAGCGGACAUCUUUCAACGCUCACCUUUCGGCGACAUCUUGAGUUCGCUAAAGUAUCUCUCGUUAUCAGGAGAGCUCUGGUCAGACUACGGCCAGGACAGUUGGGAUGCGGACGACGAAGAAAUUCAAAGCCCACCACCACCCAAUUAGUAGCCACUGUCGACGAUCUAACUGACAUGCUAAACUAUGACUCCGAAGACAUCGACGGUAUGGACGACGAUGCCGGAGACGACGAAGAACCAGCGCCUACCGGGCACGGGAAAGCCACCCCAACUCACGACGUAUACAUGGUGGAUACACCAAAAGGAAGCGAUAAUGAGGAGAAACGGGAUGUGGCGAAGGAUAACUCCCCCAACAAACAACCAAAACGGCGACGCAAGCGCCGCCCGAAGACCGGCCUCGAUAAAAAUGGCACCCAUACGGACUCGGCCCUAGAGCAGGGCGAAGCAGUGGAUGACGCACAUGUCACCAAGCAGCCAGCCGGACAUGAUGAACUGGACAAGCAACCCAUCCCCGGCGAAGACGAUCUCACAUCACCAGAGCAUACGAACCUUCAUAGAAGGCUCGUCGCCACUGCAAGAAGUUUGAAGAAGCAAAAGCGGAAGCUCAAAACAACGGAGGACGCACUCAGAAUGAGAUGGAGCAGAGUACUCAACACCGCAGAUAAACAUGGCGCUAGUCACCAGACAAAGAGCUAUCCGAAGCGCAAACUGUUGCCCGAAUUUGACGAGGAGGCCUUAGAGCCCCCGCAGUCAAAAAAGAAAGAAGCCGCCUGGCCGGAUAGACGACCAGAUGACAGGCCAAGAGCAACAAGGGGCGCCGCACACAAGCCGGCACACGAUCAGCAUAAAGAUCCUCGGAAAAAGGAUGACCCAGUCAGAUCCAUCUAUGGGUCAAAAAAGAAGACUCCAGGAAGCAACAUAACCCGCCGAGCAUUUGAAGACAAUGGCACACCCAAAUACAGGGGCGCUGCACACCCACUAUGUUUCACCAACGAGGUACUGGAUCAUGGAUUUCCAGCGGGAUUCAAACCCGUAAACAUAGACGCAUAUGACGGAACAACAGACCACGGAGUCUGGAUUGAGGAUUACAUCCUACACAUACAUAUGGCCAGAGGAGACGAUCUCCAUGCCAUAAAAUACCUACCCCUCAAGCUCAAAGGGCCAGCUCGGCAUUGGCUUAAAAGCCUCCCAGAAAAUACCAUUGGAAGUUGGGAAGAGCUUGAGGAUGCGUUUCGAGCAAAUUUUCAGGGGACCUAUAUCCGCUCUCCGGAUGCAGACGAUUUAAGUCACAUAACUCAACAGCCCGGAGAGUCAGCACGCAAAUUCUGGAACAGGUUCCUCACUAAAAAGAACCAAAUAGUCGACUGUCCGGACGCUGAAGCCUUAGCAGCCUUUAAACACAACGUCCGAGAUGAAUGGCUUGCCAGACACCUCGGCCAGGAAAAACCAAGAACAAUGGCCGCACUAACAAGCCUCAUGACCCGCUUUUGCGCGGGGGAAGGCAGCUGGCUGGCUAGAUGCAGCACCAGCGACCCGAGUACAUCCGAAGUCAGGGAUGGAAAUGGGAAAUCACGACGCAGAAAAGAUCAGCGCCGGAAUAAGGAAAAUGGCCCGAAUAGUACGGCGGUCAACGCCGGAUUCAAAAGCUCUCGGCCGAACAACAAAACACUGCCCCUCAAGGACAACAGUGACGAGCUAUCCAACCUAAACAAGAUUCUGGAUAGACUAUGUCAAAUACAUGGUACCUCCGGGAAGCCUGCAAACCAUACCCACAGAGAUUGUUGGGUCUUCAAACAGUCCGGCGAACUUAAUGCCGAACACAAGGGGCUCGACACACCAAGCGAAAGUGACGAAACCCAAAAGCAGCACUCCGGAAAACAGAAGACUUUCCCACUAGAAGUCAAAACAGUGAACUCACUUCAUGUGAUAACACGAAAAGACAGCGCGGCACCUGCAAUACCAGGACACCGCCCGCAGAAUGGGGAUAGACCCUACCAAAAUUCGCCAUAGCAGCACUUCCUUCAAAGGAGUGACGCCAGGCCUUUAAGCCAAUUAUACAGGCUCUGUACCACUAGAGGUUGUGUUCGGUUCAUCCGACAACCUCCGUCGCGAAAAGCUCACUCUCCAUCGCCCCAUUCAAACAGUAGCCCUUAAGCACUACUGGGGCGCGCAGCUUUCGCCAGCCCUAAUGCAAUACCACAUUAUGCGUUUUUAUGCUUAAGAAUGCCCGGUCAAUGUGGCAUAAUUUCAUUAAAAAGUAACUCCGAGUGUUCCUCGACCACGGAGAACGUGAGACUGCUUCGACAGCCACACACUAAUCAGACCUUGCAGGUCAAAGCCCCUAAAAACAGGUCAUUCAGACCUCGGACAUGGUUAGGCGAGUCCGGCGUAACUAAACAAGGGGCUUCCCAGCCGCAUACCCCCUUUAUAAGGGGCCGCGUGUAUAAAUGACAAGAGCCAAUAAAGCUCAACUUUCUUCAUUUUAUUCUAUUUUAAUACAACUUCUGCACGAUAUUUCUUGGAAACUAAGUCCUUCUCUUUUACAGAUGAAGCAUGUGCUACACCCGUCCAGGAUACAGCACAACGGAGACACAGGCGCAGACAUGCAGCAGGGACCCGUUGCAAGGAUUCUUUUCAGAUUAAGACCCUGCAUAAAUCUUUCUUACUGUCUCUUGUUGAUACACAUCCCCUGGUUUCCCACCAUAGCCGAGGAGGAGGCUGGCGUUUUGGCAUCGGCCGCGUCAGAAGUUCCCGCCUGUACCUGGACACAAGGGGCUUAGGGCAUUGUUCUGCCCGGUAUCAUAAAGACCGAACACCUCAGGGAGUGUUCGGCGUCUCGAGUUAGGCCUUAUAUGCAUCAGCUCCGAAUCAUGUCUUUGGUCAAAGGUUGGGUUUGCCCGGCUCCUGUGUUUUGUUGCCUUACGUUCCGCAUCAUCGGCUAACGCGGCACCAGGAGAACUACUGCGAUUGUGCCCCGGUUCGGCCGGGCGAGCACCUCAGUAGAGAAAGCAGAAAACUGACUGUCAUGAUAUAGCGAGAGACUGGUCAACCACUCGAUCGACCAUUGGAAUGUUUAGAAUUCCUCCGCUUUGAUGAAGGACCGCUUCCCGGUCAGGCACAUACGCGCCCCGAGUUCGGGAAAGAGCGGUGCCACCAGGGGCUAUAUAGUAGCCCCACAUUCGAGCUCCUAUGGCUAAGUGAAAGUGAUAAAGCAUUAUAGUCCGGUUGCCUAGUUUGCUACGCUAUCACCUCCUUAAAAGGACCAAGACAUUGGAUUAAGUGUGAAAAAUCGCUUUUCUUUUUGCAAACACCCCCGCACCAUGUGCGUGGGGGCUGAAGCCAAAGACUGCCAUCUUUCAGAUUAUACAUACAUAUACGGCCGCACAGGAGAUAGUUCAAUACUUGAACACACAAGUAUAAAAAGUUAUUGCAUUAUAAACAUGAUCUCAGAAAUCAAACAUGUCAUUCAAACAUAACAUCUUUCGAGCACUGCGACUCUAUUAAACGAGCGCCCUGCAUGACUUCCUCAAAAUAGUGCUCGGUGGGGAAUCGGCUUUUGUCCGAACCCCAGGAUGCAACAGCGGUGGCAUCCAUCUCCGCCCAGUAUGUCUUACCACGGGCGAGAGCCAUCCGUGCACCUUCUAUGCAUGCCGACCGCUUCAUUGCCCCAAUACGCGGCACCGCCCCAAGGAAUUGCUGCAACAAGCCAAAAUAACUCUUCGGUUUGGGCCUUUUCGGCCACAGAUGAGCGACCACAUCCGUCAUGGCAAGUCCGGACAAUCUAUUCAGCUCAGCCCACUCAACCAGCCGAUCACUCAACGGAAGUGGACGCUCCGGACUAUGGAAUUGAGACCAGAAAAGCUCUUCCAUUUCGUGAUCCUUCUGGCUUUGAAAGUGCACGACUGCGUCCGCCGCACUCGCCGCCAAGUCCAGAUAAGGAUCCUCCACACCGCACAAUCGGCCCAGCUGAGCAUACUUCGGAUCCGUGAACUUCCUACGUAGCAUAAAGGGCUUUCUAGCCACAAUGUCUCCGACCUGACGCAGUUCCUUCUUCAUAGUCAGCAUCGCACUACGGGCAUCCUUGGCUUCGGCGUCGGCCUUCUUCAGGUCCUCUUGCUCCGCUCGGCGUUCUCUUUCAAGAACCUCCAGGCGGUCGGUAGCAAAUUUUAAUUUCGUGGCCAUUCCGGCCAUCUCCUCCCUGCUUCGGCAGUGAGCAGCCUUCUCGACUUCUAGCUCUUCCGCUGCCUUCGAGGCAGCCGCCUCGCUUUUUCUGGCUUGCUCCUUGGCCCGAGCAAGUUCUACUCGAAGGCCUACCACAACAGCAGCACUAUCUGCAUCAGGCAUACAAAUUGUAAGGAAUGGGCGUCAGCUCCCUUACUAGGCGACCGCAGAGCAACCACAUACCUUGUGACUCAUCAAGUCGUUUAUUGACCAGCGAGAUGUCCGCAUGCGCAACGUCGAGUUGCCUCUUCAGCUCGGCAAAUCCAUCGGUCCGGCUGGCCACCGAACGUUCCGCCACCUGCAUAGGAAAGGCGACAAUCUAUAACUGAGAUUAUGAUCCUCGGCACGUUGUCGCUUUCGACAGCAUACCAAGUCUCAGGGGCUACUAUCUAUACAGGGCGCACUUCAUGUGCAAAACUGUCAAAAGGUAUGUCAUUUUUGCGUACCUCAAACCCCGUCAGCAAACUUCCGACGGCCUCAUACAACCCGCUUUGGGCGGACGAGAUCCUUUCAAUCACCCUACCCAUUAAUGUGCGGUGGUCUUCUGAGACAGACGCCCUCCUGAGCAAAUCCUGCAGCUCCACCGACCGUACUCCAAUUGGUGCCGAACUCUCCGUCCCCGCCGGACUCGAGGAGACCCUCCGUGACGACACCUCAGGGUCGCCCGCCCCGCACGACGGGGCGGCAGAUGGAGGCGUUUCGCUCUCCAUCAUCUCCGGACGAAGGUCUCCCGACGAUGAGCUGUGCUGGGAUGGGCUGAGAUCCGAACUACAAGGUGAAAACUUCGGUUACCCUUAGAAAUUAAAGAGGGAUGUCCACUAUUACAAAAUCCCCCUCUUUACUUACGGCUCGCUAGAGGGCUGAUUCCUCCGAGGAGACAGUACGGCCGGGGCUCUUCCCGGCACAGAACCUUCCGGUACAGAUUUCUUUCCUCCGAGGAGAGGCUGGAUAAUUAAUUUGUUCACGUUUUCAUGUAUAGUUGGCUAAUUUAACUCAUUGCUUUUUUUUUUGAGAAAGAGAGAGCCAUAUGAGAGAAGAAGACUUGCAUGCUCUCUUCCCAUGCUCCCAUACGUGCUCCUUCUAGCAGAAAUUUUUGGGUGAUCGAUGGACUGCUGAAGCAAUUAAGACAUGGUUACACACACAAAUUUGCGCACAUCCAUCCAUCCAAAAAGAAAAGGAAAAACGUUGCUUCGUAGUCUGGGCCUUGGCCUCCAGGCUCCAGCGUGCUUGGGCGGCUAUGGCUGCAUCAAUCAUGAAAGGAAGGAGAAAGGAAAACAAAAAAGAAGAAGAAAAAACAGAGAGCAAUCAGAAGCAGAAGAAGAGGUGGUCGUGGUCUGAUUUCCCCUUUGGCUGCUGGAUCCAUCCAUGACGCCGGCGUGGUGGUCGUCUUCGACUUCGACAAGACCAUCAUCGACUGCGACAGCGACAACUGGGUCGUCGACGCCCUCGGCGCCACCCAGCGGUUUGACGAGCUCCUGCUCCACCUCCCAUGGAACUCGGCCAUCGUAAGCCUCUGUUUGUUCGCAUCGUACCGUAUGUGAUGCCUUUUUCUGUCGCAAAUGCACCUGGUAAUCGUUCCAAUAAUGAUUGCUCUGGUCUUAGAUAUCCCUUUACGACCUUUUGCAAACCAAAUCUCAGCAGCUGCAGUGCGUAUUUCACUCACAAUAUUUAAAUUUUCGUGUAGUGCGUGCGCACGUAACGAAGAAAGGCCGCGGUUUUUUAUUGAAUUGUUGCGUUCUUUUUUAAAAAGGACGCCAUGAUGGGCGAGCUGCACUCGCAAGGCAAAACGAUCGACGAGAUCGCGGGCAGCAUCAGGACGGCGCCUCUGUCCCAUCACGUCGUGGCGGCCAUCAAGGCCGCACAGGCUCUCGGCUGCGAGCUGCGGAUCCUCAGCGACGCCAACGCGUUUUUCAUCGACACGGUCCUUGCGCACCACGGCCUGGCCGGCUACUUCUCGGAGAUCAGCACCAACCCGGCCAGCGUCGACGCCGGCGGCCGCCUCGGGAUCACCCCGCACCACGACUUCCGUCAUGGCUCCUGCAGCAGCCACGGCUGCACCCUCGCCACCUGCCCUCCCAACAUGUGCAAGGUGACGCAUCAGACACUUUCGUUAACGCGUUGCUAGAUUUCACUGUAUCUUUUUUUGCCUCAACAUUUUGGUGUGCAAAAUUCAGGGCAAGGUGAUGGAGGGGAUGCUGCAAGAACUGUCGGCGGCGGCGGCGGCGGCAGGGAUGAGGAGGCCGAGUAGAGUGGUGUACCUUGGCGACGGUAGGGGCGACUACUGUCCCACCCUAAAGCUGGCCGAGCGGGACUACAUGAUGCCCAGGAAGGGCUACCCCGUGUGGGACCUCAUCGCCGGCGACCGGCGGGCCGUCCGCGCAGACGUGCACGGAUGGGCCGACUUCAAGGACCUGGAGACGGUGCUGCUUGACAUCAUACACGAAUGCGCCGCGGCCGCCAUGAUGGAACAAGACGGCGGCGAUCAGGCGGUGGUGGGCAUGGUGGUGCCAGAGUGCCGUGCCCUUUC